rnacentral:rRNA from 1 species
UACGUAGGGUGCAAGCGUUAAUCGGACUUACUGGGCGUAAAGCGUGCGCAGGCGGACUUUUAAGCCAGAUGUGAAAGCCCCGAGCUUAACUUGGGAAUUGCGUUUGGAACUGGGAGUCUAGAGUCUGUCAGAGGGGGAUGGAAUUCCACGUGUAGCAGUGAAAUGCGUAGAGAUGUGGAGGAACACCGAUGGCGAAGGCAGUCCCCUGGGAUAAGACUGACGCUCAUGCACGAAAGCGUGGGGAGCAAACAGGAUUAGAUACCCUGGUAGUCCACGCCCUAAACGAUGUCUACUAGUUGUUGGGGUAGCAAUACCGCAGUGACGCAGCUAACGCGUGAAGUAGACCGCCUGGGGAGUACGGUCGCAAGAUUAAA